UUUGAAAAAGUGGUAGGCCCCAGGCCGUUUAUUGCUUAUAUUCCAAACAAAGAGCCUGGAAAGCCUGCACGCUAUCAAUCUUGCUCGCCAAAAGGUCUGACAGCUCCUUGCCCUAAGAACACAUUUAAACCAUCUAACUCUGCCUUAGAUCAUAUGUGGCUGCCAGGAAGACGGCAACAACUUGCUACUUAUGCGAGGGAACUACACAACUUGUAAGUUUCUUUAAUAGGAAUCCAUUUCCGAAUAUGGAUGUUCUAUAUAGAGCAGACAAUGAUAUGGAAAUACCAGUAAAGGUGUGUUAUCUUAUCCUGCUUUAUUUUGUUAAAUGAAAGGAAAAUCUACAACAUUUUCGUUUUCGGAAGAACAACAGUAGUGGGAAAUAGCAGCAAAAGAGUGGAUUGACUGAGAUCGUGAGAAAGAAUCGAAUGGAUCUAUUGUCUGUAGAGGGUAGUGGACAGGAGCUACAUUAACCGUCUGUUCCCCCAGUCAAGACAAGACGAGACACCUGGGAAGCAUGGCAGGAAAAAGAAGUUAACCUUUUUUCUCUUCGAGGACUACUUAUCAGAGGAAAGUAAACGUUUUCAGAUUAUGUUGUUAGAAUACUUUAAUAUUCCACAUGGAAAUUGUUAUCAACAUCAAUACCAAGUAGUAGUAGAAAUAGCCGCAGUAGGCCUAUUCAUUUUGGGAUCAAUAUAGUAGUGAGAAUAAUCAGCAAUUACAAAUACUAUUUAAAUUGUAAUUAAUGGUUAAUAAUCUUACUGAUAUCUGAUAUAUUUUACUUUCUUUUGACGUUUUCUGUUUAAAAAAGAAAGGAUGCAGUUGUAUAGCGAAUUCGGUUCAAGUCAGUUAAUUGUUAGAUCGAAGACAGAUGACUGUCUGUUCCUGAAUUUCCUGAGCACAAUAAAACAUAUUCUCUCACAUG